rnacentral:rRNA from 1 species
AAUCAACGCUGGCGGCGUGCCUCAGACAUGCAAGUCGAACGAUUAAAGCUCUCUUCGGAGAGUGCAUAGAGUGGCGCACGGGUGAGUAACACGUAAGUAAUCUACCCUCGAGUGGGGAAUAACGUCCGGAAACGGACGCUAAUACCGCAUAAUGCAGCGGCACCGCAAGGUGACAGUUGUUAAAGGAGAAAUUCGCUUGAGGAGGAGCUUGCGGCAGAUUAGCUUGUUGGUAAGGUAACGGCUUACCAAGGCUACGAUCUGUAACCGGUCUUAGAGGACGGUCGGUCACACUGACACUGAAUAACGGGUCAGACUCCUACGGGAGGCAGCAGUCGGGAAUUUUGGGCAAUGGGCGAAAGCCUGACCCAGCAACGCCGCGUGAAGGAUGAAGUAUUUCGGUAUGUAAACUUCGAAAGAAUAGGAAGAAUAAAUGACGGUACUAUUUAUAAGGUCCGGCUAACUACGUGCCAGCCGCCGCCGUAAU